rnacentral:rRNA from 1 species
UACGAAGGGGGCUAGCGUUGCUCGGAAUCACUGGGCGUAAAGGGUGCGUAGGCGGGUCUUUAAGUCAGAGGUGAAAUCCUGGAGCUCAACUCCAGAACUGCCUUUGAUACUGAAGAUCUUGAGUUCCGGGAGAGGUGAGUGAACUGCGAGUGUAGAGGUGAAAUUCGUAGAUAUUCGCAAGAACACCAGUGGCGAAGGCGGCUCACUGGCCCGGUACUGACGCUGAGGUGCGAAAGCGUGGGGAGCAAACAGGG